rnacentral:rRNA from 1 species
UACGCAGGGGGCUAGCGUUGCUCGGAAUUACUGGGCGUAAAGCGCACGUAGGCGGCUUCUUAAGUCGGAGGUGAAAUCCUGGAGCUCAACUCCAGAACUGCCUUCGAUACUGGGAAGCUCGAGUCCGGGAGAGGUGAGUGGAACUGCGAGUGUAGAGGUGAAAUUCGUAGAUAUUCGCAAGAACACCAGUGGCGAAGGCGGCUCACUGGACACAUAUUGACGCUGAGGUGCGAAAGCGUGGGGAGCAAACAGG